rnacentral:tRNA from 1 species
UCUAAUGUGGCAGAAAAUUGCAAUGAAUUUAAGAUUCAUUUAUAAAUAAAACUAUUUCUUUAGAA